ACCAGACUCCUACGGGAGGCAGCAGUGGGGAAUAUUGCACAAUGGGCGAAAGCCUGAUGCAGCAACGCCGCGUGAAGGAAGAAGGGUUUCGGCUCGUAAACUUCUAUCAACAGGGACGAAAGAAAUGACGGUACCUGAAUAAGAAGCCCCGGCUAACUACGUGCCAGCAGCCGCGGUAAUACGUAGGGGGCAAGCGUUAUCCGGAAUUACUGGGUGUAAAGGGAGCGUAGACGGCCAUGCAAGCCUGGAGUGAAAGCCCGGGGCCCAACCCCGGGACUGCUCUGGGAACUGUGCGGCUGGAGUGCGGGAGGGGCAGGCGGAAUUCCUGGUGUAGCGGUGAAAUGCGUAGAUAUCAGGAGGAACACCGGCGGCGAAGGCGGCCUGCUGGACCGCGACUGACGUUGAGGCUCGAAAGCGUGGGGAGCAAACAGGAUUAGAUACCCCCGUA
rnacentral:rRNA from 1 species